rnacentral:rRNA from 1 species
CCACGGGCGGAGCAGUGGGGAAUAUUGGACAAUGGGCGAAAGCCUGAUCCAGCCAUGCCGCGUGUGUGAAGAAGGCCUUCGGGUUGUAAAGCACUUUCAGUGGGGAAGAAAGCCUUGGGGCUAAUACCCUCGAGGAAGGACAUCACCCACAGAAGAAGCACCGGCUAACUCCGUGCCAGCAGCCGCGGUAAUACGGAGGGUGCGAGCGUUAAUCGGAAUUACUGGGCGUAAAGCGCGCGUAGGCGGUCUGAUAAGCCGGUUGUGAAAGCCCCGGGCUCAACCUGGGAACGGCAUCCGGAACUGUCAGGCUAGAGUGCAGGAGAGGAAGGUAGAAUUCCCGGUGUAGCGGUGAAAUGCGUAGAGAUCGGGAGGAAUACCAGUGGCGAAGGCGGCCUUCUGGACUGACACUGACGCUGAGGUGCGAAAGCGUGGGUAGCAAACAGGAUUAGAUACCCGGGUAGUC